GAGACUGCACUGGCGUUUUACAGAGCUAAGAAUCCUACUGACAAACCAGUAAUUGGAAUUUCUACAUACAAUAUUGUUCCAUUUGAAGCUGGACAGUAUUUCAAUAAAAUACAGUGCUUCUGUUUUGAAGAACAAAGGCUUAAUCCCCAAGAGGAAGUAGAUAUGCCAGUGUUUUUCUACAUUGAUCCUGAAUUUGCUGAAGAUCCAAGAAUGAUUAAAGUUGAUCUUAUCACUCUUUCUUACACUUUUUUUGAAGCAAAGGAAGGGCACAAGUUGCCAGUUCCAGGAUAUAAUUGAAGUCAGCAACUAAGUCUUCCUUCAAAGUUGUGAUUUUUGGGAAAAUCAUAUAUCCUAUCUUCUCAAAGGAGAAAUAUUGUACAAUAAUAUGAAGGCUUAUAUUUUAAAUAAUUAUUUUUUCUCAACUAAUUUUUUUCACUUAAACUUGAGAGAACAAGUUCAGCUUUUAUCAUAAGAAACUCAUAUGCCUAGCUAGAAUAUAUGACUGACUAUUCAAUACCAUACUGAAGAGUUUGAUACUAUUAAAAUAAGCCGCUUUGUUUUUUAAAUAUGCAGGCAUGGGUUCAGCUUAAUUCCAUAAUUCCCUUCCAGAUUAUUAACUCUUCAUACUUACAGCAAUGAAUCUGACAAUGUUUUUCAAAAAUGUAUGCUCAGGGUUAUUUGUUUCAAGUCAUAGGCCAGAACUUCUAACCAUGUUUAUUGUGUCUAAAAGAGUUGGUUGCUAUUUUCCUUCAUUAUGAAUAGUCAGUAUUUUAAAAGCUCAAAGUAGAAGAGGAGUCACUAAGCCCUAACAGCUUGUCCAAAGAUUUAAAUUCUUAUUUCAAAUUUGAUUUGUCCUUUAAGGUUUAGGGCUAUUUUAUAUUCAGAGUUCUGAAUAAUUACUUUGAAACUGUAGUAUCAUAAAAUUGAAAUAAAAUACAUCUACUAGGCUGUUAGCCAAAGCAUCACCAUUACAAGUCCAUGAAUGUUAAAAUGUACAGGUGGGAUUGUGAAGAUUUACUGACAUCAAAAGUUCUUCUGGAAACAAACCUUUGUUAAAAAAAAAAAGUAUUAAAUUGUUUUAAUAGUGAUUUAUUUGUCAUCAAAUGUACAACUUAUUCUAAAUAUUUUCAUUUUCUGUGUUCUAAAUAGAAAUAUUAAGUUGCAGUAAAAAGAGAAAAAAAGGCUAUUUAGCAUUACAAAGAAUCAUAUUUAAAGGCUGCCCAAUGUAGAGUCUAGUGACCUGUUCAGGACACCUGAAAUAUAAUUAAAUGACAAUUAUCAAGGUUUUAACAAUUUAUAAUUCUAAACCAGAGGAUUAUAAAGAAGUGCAAAUUGACUUUUACAUUCAACUUUAGUUAAAUGAAGGCACUCAGUAUUCUUCCUGAAUAAUACAUUCAGUUUCUCACAUUUUAUGCUUUCAUCUAUUCAGAAUUAUUUCAUAGUAAAAUAAUCUACUCUUAUCACAGCUGUGUGACGAUUUCUAAAUGUAGGAAGGCCUGUGAAACAUGACACUGCAGUUAAAUUGGUUGGCCUAAGGACUAAGUAAUUUUUCUUCUGCUGAAGUUUUAAGUGAGUAUUUGUUCCAAACAAGUUCUGUUGAAAUCUCACGCUGUUGUCAGGAAUCAGUGUUAUCCUGGAACUGUUAUUCUAUUUAAUCUUCAUUAUAGCAGAAAUGUGCCACCAUGGCUUUGACAUGUUGGUAGGUAUUGUCUUCCAGGCUUCAAAGCUGCACAGAGUCUACGUUUUAGAGAGUUGGCACCUUUGAUGUGGUAGUGAGCUGAUCAUCCACUUUCUUCUAAAAUAAAGAGAAGAAAAUGGCCAGU
rnacentral:lncRNA from 10 species